rnacentral:siRNA from 1 species
UUAAAAACCCACCAAAGAAAUCCG